GCUAUUAUUAUAGCUCAGUGCGUUAGAGCACUGGUCUUGUAAACCAGGGUCGUGAGUUCGAUCCUCACUGGUGGCU
rnacentral:tRNA from 1 species